rnacentral:lncRNA from 1 species
CUUCGGAGGUCAGAGCUCGGCGGGGUGCGGCUAGUGGCGGAGCGCGCUGCGAGGGGAGGGCUUUCCACUGUCGCUGGCGUGAACUCGCGUGCCCGGCUUCACCAGGUACUGCCUUCUAACGAGCUGGCCAUUUCCACAUGUCAGAUAGGACCAACUUGCCUUUUAACUACCCGUGUGAUACUUAAACACUGUUGCCGGUAUCACAGCUUUUCUUCAAAACAGGGCAGUCAGUGAAGGCUCCCCAGGGGAGAUGACGUUUGAGCCGAGUUUCAGAAGAUGAUUGGAGUUUACCACGUGUUCACAGGAAGCAACGAGAAUGAGGGCAUUCCAGUAGCAGGAGACAGCAUGCAUAGAGAUGCUGAUGAAGAAAGAGCCUAGCGCACGUGGGAAACUGCAAAAGUUCAGACUGGUUGGAAUGCUGGAAAUGUUGUGAAUGACAGGAGAUGAGGCUGGCGAGAAAACAGAGGUCAGAUUGUGGAAGGCUGUCAAGCCAAAGACUUUGAUUUUAUUCUUGAGAUUGAUGAGAUGUGUGUAAUCCAGGAGUGUGCAAAACAAUCUGUAAGGGUUCAGAAAACAUACUGCUUCUAUAUAUAGUUACCUUUGUCUUAACUUG